rnacentral:pre_miRNA from 1 species
UGAUUGUCCAAACGCAAUUCUUGUGUGAUUUCUCCAUAUUCAGGAGUUGUGGAUGGACAUCAUGC